GGCAUACCAACAAUAUGUGUGUAUAAAAUAAAAUAAAAUAUUAGAGGGUGGGGUGCGGGGGUGGCUACUAUAUUAAUCAACUUCUCGAAUGCCAAAACAAGGACAGAAGCAACGAAUUACGUUGACACCAAAGCCAAUAGCAAAUCCAUAGAACCCAGCUAACCUUUCUCUUCUCGGUGUCUGCACAACAGGCAUUCCAUAAACAGGAUUUGGAACUGUAUAUUGCUGGUAG
rnacentral:misc_RNA from 1 species